CCCGUGCUUUACCAGCCCUCACCAGGAAAGUCUCUGCAGCCCAGUGGUCCAGCAGCUCCUGACGGGAGGCUUAUGUGACCUGACCCCCAGGACCUUCCGCCAUCACCCUGAUAAGAGUCUGCAGGCAGAGAGUGUGAAGAUGGAGUUCAUAAAAGGUGGCUCAGACCUAGCAGGGAAAAUGUAUGCAUGUGUAUUCCAAAAGGAUGGAGUAAACUAAAGAGGAGAGAAGCCUCAGAUGCACACAGACAAGAGUCGUCCGUGUGAAGACGCACUGAGAAGGCAGUUGUGCACAAGCCAGAAAGAGAGUCCUCACCAGAAACCAACCAUAAGCCAUCUUGAUCUGGACUUCCAGC